rnacentral:rRNA from 1 species
AGCAGCCGCGGUAAUUCCAGCUCCAAUAGCGUAUAUUAAAGUUGUUGCAGUUAAAAAGCUCGUAGUUGAAUUUCGGGGUUAGUAGGUUGGUCAUGCCUCUGGUAUGUACUGGUCUCACUGAUUCCUCCUUCCUGAUGAACCUUAAUGCCAUUUAUUUGGUGUUUUGGGGAAUUUGGACUGUUACUUUGAAAAAAUUAGAGUGUUUAAAGCAAGCUAACGCUUGAAUACAUUAGCAUGGAAUAAUGAAAUAGGACGUUCGAUCCUAUUUUGUUGGUUUCUAGGAUUGACGUAAUGAUUAAUAGGGAUAGUUGGGGGCAUUAGUAUUCAAUUGUCAGAGGUGAAAUUCUUGGAUUUAUUGAAGACUAACUACUGCGAAAGCAUUUGCCAAGGAUGUUUUCAUUAAUCAAGAACGAAAGUUAGGGGAUCGAAGACGAUCAGAUACCGUCGUAGUCUUAACCAUAAACUAUGCCGACUAGGGAUCGGAUGAUGUUAAUUUUUUAAUAACUCA